rnacentral:rRNA from 1 species
GCGAGGUUAACACAUGCAGUCGAGGGGCAGCAUGGAGUAGCAAUACUCUGAUGGCGACCGGCAGACGGGUGAGUAACGCGUAUGUAACCUACCCUGUACUGGGGGAUAACCCGGAGAAAUUCGGACUAAUACCCCAUGGAAAUAUUGAGAGGCAUCUUGAGAUAUUUAAAGUUUCGGCGGUACUGGAUGGGCAUGCGUGACAUUAGCUAGUUGGUAGGGUAACGGCCUACCAAGGCAUCGAUGUCUAGGGGUCCUGAGAGGGUGAUCCCCCACACUGGUACUGAGACACGGACCAGACUCCUACGGGAGGCAGCAGUGAGGAAUAUUGGUCAAUGGGCGCAAGCCUGAACCAGCCAUCCCGCGUGAAGGAAGAAGGCGCUAUGCGUCGUAAACUUCUUUUCCGGAGGAAUAAAAUUUCGUACGAGUACGGGACUGGAGGUACUCCGGGAAUAAGCAUCGGCUAACUCCGUGCCAGCAGCCGCGGUAAUACGGAGGAUGCGAGCGUUAUCCGGAUUUAUUGGGUUUAAAGGGUGCGUAGGCGGAUUAAUAAGUCAGUGGUGAAAACCUUCAGCUUAACUGGAGACUUGCCAUUGAUACUGUUAGUCUUGAGUAUGGUUAAGGUAGGCGGAAUGUGUAAUGUAGCGGUGAAAUGCUUAGAUAUUACACAGAACACCAAUUGCGAAGGCAGCUUACUGAGCCAUAACUGACGCUGAUGCACGAAAGCGUGGGGAGCGAACAGGAUUAGAUACCCUGGUAGUCCACGCAGUAACGAUGAUCACUCGCUGUUGGCGAUACACAGUCAGCGCUAAGCAAAAGCAUUAAGUGAUCCACUGGGGAGUACGGCCGCAGGCUG